GGCAAACGAACAUCAAAGGACAAAGAUUUUGAUAAGCAGAAAAUAUACACAUUAGAAAUUAAGCCAGUUUCUAUGAAAUUUAAGAAGAGAAUUGAAAAAACCACUGGCUCUAAGAUUGUCUUUAAGAGGAGGAAUACUCUUUUUAAUUGUUUAUGAAACGACAAAGAUAAAUAUGAUCACAACAUUCUACCGGGGGGUCUAUGAAAUUCCCACCACAGAUAAUGACCUGAGUCAAGACAUACGAUAUACAGGCUACACUGCAAGAUCACUGAAUAAGAGGCUAGAAGAACAUAAAAAAGUUAUAGAUAAGUCUGCGAGUGCAGCAGCACUAGCCCAAAGAGCCCUCUUUAGCGAUGUUGCAGUGGAGUGGGAGGACGCGGAACUCCUGGUGAGGCGGGGGG
rnacentral:lncRNA from 1 species